UAAUUUCUUAUCUUUCCACUUUUAAUUAUUAUAAAAGAAUUGUGUACUUUUUUCAAAAAAUAAUUAAAAAGUAUCCUUUAGUUUUAACAUUUUAAUUUUUUAUGUUUUAUUUUAUUUUCUUCACUUAUUUUGAUAUCAGUUCGAAAUUAACUUAUUUUAAAUACAAGGUAUUUGGAAUUAAAUUUGAAAUCAAAUCAAAAGGAAAGACAAAGAAAAUAAAAGAG
rnacentral:lncRNA from 1 species